GAGGGUAGCCCGACGUAUAUUAGCGGACAGUGGCAUUACCGUAAAUAAGUUGGUAAACACAACGUCGGUUUAAAGAGCAAAUGACGUCUAUUAUAUAGUAGACGUCCGCUCUGCCCUAAACCGACAUCCAAGGGCCUGGAAGAUAGUCUCUUCUGGCCCAUUGACGUCGGUUGUGAUGGGGGACUGACGACUACCUGGC
rnacentral:lncRNA from 1 species